UCUCCAUUAGGUCCAGUUGCUCUACCUUUCGCCUCCUCUUGCACGCCUGGAGGUGCUUUCCAACAGCCUCGGAAAAGUACCCGAAUCGCAUAUCAUGAGCUCGGACACAGAAUACUGCUUAUCACGACGAAGCUUGUGUACGACCAAAAGUAGGCCGUCGUAAUUCCAGGGACCGAAAUCAAUCAUAUUGCUAACAUCAUGCUCGUGGAAAAAUCGAAAGAGGAUUAAGCAGUUACCUAGGUCGUUGAUUUCCACUCCGUGUCCUGGUUUCCAAAGUUC
rnacentral:lncRNA from 1 species